rnacentral:rRNA from 1 species
AUUGAACGCUGGCGGCAGGCCUAACACAUGCAAGUCGAACGGUAACAGGAAGAAGCUUGCUUCUUUGCUGACGAGUGGCGGACGGGUGAGUAAUGUCUGGGAAACUGCCUGAUGGAGGGGGAUAACUACUGGAAACGGUAGCUAAUACCGCGUAACGUCGCAAGACCAAAGAGGGGGACCUUCGGGCCUCUUGCCAUCGGAUGUGCCCAGAUGGGAUUAGCUUGUUGGUGGGGUAACGGCUCACCAAGGCGACGAUCCCUAGCUGGUCUGAGAGGAUGACCAGCCACACUGGAACUGAGACACGGUCCAGACUCCUACGGGAGGCAGCAGUGGGGAAUAUUGCACAAUGGGCGCAAGCCUGAUGCAGCCAUGCCGCGUGUAUGAAGAAGGCCUUCGGGUUGUAAAGUACUUUCAGCGGGGAGGAAGGGAGUAAAGUUAAUACCUUUGCUCAUUGACGUUACCCGCAGAAGAAGCACCGGCUAACUCCGUG